rnacentral:rRNA from 1 species
UACGGAGGGGGCGAGCGUUGUUCGGAAUCACUGGGUGUAAAGGGUGCGUAGGCGGCUGCCUAAGUCAGGUGUGAAAUCUCUCGGCUCAACCGGGAAACUGCGCUUGAUACUGGGCGGCUCGAGUGAGGUAGGGGUGUGUGGAACUUCCGGUGGAGCGGUGAAAUGUGUAGAUAUCGGGAAGAACACCGGUGGCGAAAGCGCUCUGCUAGGCCGCAACUGACACUGAGGGACGAAAGCUAGGGGAGCGAAUGGG